rnacentral:sRNA from 1 species
GAUUGUUGCAGGAAAAGAGGAAAUGUAAAUGGAAAUUAUGAGGCAUAACAACUAAUUGAUCACAACCAGUUACAGAUUCCUUUGUUCCUUCUCCACUCCCACUGCUUCACUUGACCAGCCUAAA